GCACCCGUGGCCUAAUGG
rnacentral:siRNA from 1 species